rnacentral:misc_RNA from 1 species
CAGAGAGAAAAAGUGGAGCUAUGGGGCCUUGGUUUUUCCAAGAUUUGAGAUCUUUCUUACAAUUCUAGCUAUACCUUGCAUUUGCAAAGCCUCGGUAAACGUAGUUAAAGGAGGAUCAUCUGCAGGAAUUGCUGUUGGCAUUUUGCUGUUGGGAUUAGUAUCAUUUCUAUUGCUACAAUUGUUUUUGUUCCUCUCUAUUGGAAUAACAUUAGGGAAGCUACUUCAGUAUAAGGAGGUACACCAAGUAGGGCAG